rnacentral:rRNA from 1 species
GCGCGAAACCUUUACAAUGCACGAAAGUGUGAUAGGGGGAUACUCAGUGCUUACGGUUAUGCCGUAGGCUUUUGUCGAUCGUAAAUAGAUCGGCGAAUAAGUGGUGGGUAAGACCGGUGCCAGCCGCCGCGGUAACCCCGGCGCCACGAGUGGUCGUCACGAUUAUUGGGCCUAAAGCGUUCGUAGCCGGUUUGGUAAAUCUCUUGUGAAAUUGUUCGGCUUAACCGGACAGCGUGCAGGAGACACUGCCAGACUCGAGACCGGGAGGCGCAAGAAGUAUGCCGUGGGGACUGGUAAAAUGGGAUAAUCCACGGUAGACUACCGAUGGCGAAGGCAUCUUGCGAGAACGGAUCUGACGGUGAGGAACGAAAGCCAGGGGAGCGAACCGG